CUCGCGCGAGCUGAAAGAGAGAGAGAGAGAGAGAGAGAGAGGGAUGGCGAGUGUAUCUUUGAAUCUUCAAUACACCUUCAAGGAAUUCAACUUCAAGAAAUUCUCACUGCGCGCCACUGCUUCUUCUUCUUCAAACGGUGUCCCUUUCAGCAACCCCAAAUCUGGGGGGCCCUUAGUUCUCGAAAUUCCGCUUGAUAAGAUACGGAGGCCACUUAUGCGUACGAGAGCUAAUGAUCCUGAGAAGGUGAAGGAGCUUAUGGAGAGCAUUCAAGAAAUUGGGCUUCAAGUACCGGUGGGUGUGGCUUUGGAUAUGUUUGAAUUUGAAUUUUGGGUUUCAAUCCAAUAUUUGUAUACAUUGCGAUUGAUGUUCUCGAGGUUGAUGGAGUUUACUAUGGUGUGUUCUCUUUCGUUCUCUUUCGAACUCUUCUGCCUUGAAUCAUUAGAACACUUCUAUUCAAGCAACUUAGUCCCCUACAAGUUAUUAGGUGGCAGGUUUCUCUGGUUGCCAUCGGUUUGAGGCUCAUCAGCGCCUUGGACUCCCAACCAUCCGUUGCAAGAUUCGACGUGGAACGAAGGAAACUCUCAGGCAUCACCUACGCUGAGUUCAAUGAGAGUGUUAUGCUUCUACCCUUUACGUGGGCCCCAUAGCUUUACAGUUCAAAUUCAUCCAAGGAAUAAUAAUAAUAUAGCCGAACUUCCUUUCUGGAGGGUGUAGAUCACUCUCCGUCUCAUCCCUAUGCGGUUUAGAACAUGUUGGGUAAGCUUUAUGGUAAAUCUGUGUAUUAUUCAUGAGAACUGAUGACAUACAUAAAGGUACUGGAACUUGUGGUACCAUAUCAUCUUUCCCGCAAACAUAUCACUUUUGCAGGACAGCAGUACCAUGAAAUGGUGGGCCCAACUGUGAAGAUUACCCUUCUCGAAAAUCAGGCUGAUCUGCUCACUAGGUGGGGGCACACCUGUAUUUUAGUCAGACCGUCGGUUGUCCAUUUAUUCCAAUGGCGUGGCCCACCUGAUGAGCAGAAUGGCCUGGUUUUUGACAAGGGUGAUCUUUGUUGUGGGACCUACUGUUUCCACGGUAAUGAUGCCCGCAAAAGUGUCAUGUUGGUAGAAAACAUGGCAGAGGAACCACAAGUUUUGUAUCUUGGAAGUGUGAUCACUUCUCAUUAUCUAUACUACAUAUACAUCUGUAUAUGCAUAUGGCCAUGUAUUGAUACUAUGGAAACUCAUUUGUGGAUGUAAAGCUUUAAGGAGGAAAGGAUCAUCCAGCUUGUAAUUUUAUGGUUUAGGGUGUGUUUGGUUGCACCAAAUUUCAUGAAAUAUUGUGAAAUUUUGAACCAAAUUAGAUGGAUUAAUAACAAAAUAUCAUGAUAUUUGGUGCAACCAAAUGCACCCAUAGGUUUUGGAGGAUGAAAGAACGGAAGAAGGUUGCCUUCUUUGCCUAAAUAAAUUGAGAUGCUUAGGGGUGUGUUUGGGUGCA